GAUGAAUGCUGGCGGGAGGCUUAACACAUGCAAGUCGAGCGGUAACACUUCGGGUGACGAGCGGCGAACGGCUGAGUAACGCGUUGGUACCUGCCCCGAACUCAGGGAUAAGCACUGGAAACGGUGUCUAAUACCGGAUGUCCCAGUAAUGGGAAAGAUUUAUCGGUUCGGGAGGGGCCUGCGUCGUAUCAUGCUUGUUGGUAAGGUAACGGCUUACCAAGGCUUUGACGCGUACCUGGUGUGAGAGCAUGACCAGGCAGAGUGGGACUGAGACACGGCCCACACUCCUACGGGAGGCAGCAGUGAGGAAUUUUCCGCAAUGGGGGCAACCCUGACGGAGCUAUCCCGCGUGGAGGACGACACCUUUCGGGGCGUAAACUCCUUUUCUGAAGGACGAAGUUCUGACGGUACUUCAGGAAUAAGCGACGGCUAAUUACG
rnacentral:rRNA from 1 species